rnacentral:misc_RNA from 1 species
AAGAUGCUGCUAAGAGUAUUGGAGGUGAGAAACUAUAUCACUGCAAUUUAAUUCAUAUGAACUAUAAGUAAUUUGAUUGAUUUCUUACUAAAAAGCUUCAAGAAGAGGGUUACUUUGUUCUUAUUUUAAGGUAUAACACAUUCAACAUGGUUGAUUUCUGAUUUCAAGUAGUCUUGAAUUUUUGAUACUUUAGCCUCGUUGACCAACAAGUAAUUAACCGGUUUAUAUCUAUUGCAGUAUGCCCCACUACUCUAAAAAG